GAUGGAACACUUCUUACUCAAAUUAAGAGGUAAGGUACUAAAUGUUCAAAAGUUUCAUUAAUCUUGUGAUCAGAUUCUACAUUUUUUUGUAGAAUCGCAAUGUUCUGCUAUAUAUAUAGUACUAAAUGUCAUUAAACUUAUGAUCGGAUACUUCAUUUUCUUGGUGCGAAGGGACCAAAGACCUUAGGUCCUAGCAUAUACAUAAGGCAUAUAUAUAAUUGUGUCAUUUUUGAUCAUGGAGUGAUCUAGGCGAGUGCUCACAUUGUGCUAAGUUGGUGUGAUGGUUGGUUCUUUGAAGGUGACUUAGCUUACAACUUUUUUUCUUACGUCAACAUUACUCUUAAGGGUGGGUUUUCUAUUUUUGGCUACUAAGGUGGACUUGAAUAUAUAUAUAUUUUACUGCAACCCCAUACAUUUGGCGUUUUGAGGAGUUGCGUGUAUGAUGAUGAGAUGCUUCUGAAGCAGAAACAAGUCAUCGAAUGCCCUUCCAUAUGAUACAUCUGGUCAAACCUUAUGGCAUUUGAGAAACCAUAAGGAGCCCCACCUCAGCUGUUGGCAGAUUUUCUAACGCCUUGAAGUUUAUCGUCGAAGAGUCCUCAGCCCCCUGGAGCUUAACGGAAACUGAAACAGAUUAUGCAAUAAUGCUAUGACGCACAUAUUCGACAAACUUGUCUCGAAGUACAGUACUGGGGCAGUUACUGACUUACUGGAUAUGUCAUAUAGUUGUCAUAGAUGCUUUUAAAGCGGAAGAAUUUGCUGAGGUGGCAACGAAGCCUCUGAAAGCCCUUCCAUAUGACACACCUGGUUGAAGUUUAUGGCAUUUGAGUACCCCAUAAGGGGUCCCAGCUCAUCUGUUGGCAGAUUUUUGACAUGUUGAAGUUUAUCGUCAAAGAGGUCCCUAAACUUGUAUGAAAAAAAAGAUGCAAGCAUUAGCCAAAUUGGGAAGUGAACAUGUUAGAAAAUAUCUUCAUUUGCCUUUUUGAUGAAGUUCAACGCGUGACAAGUGUAAAUGUAGGGGUGACAAGUGUAAUACAAAGAUGCUGUUAGUGGAUUAUAUAGAUGCUGCAUGUGCAAAUUUGAUGAAGUUCAACGCGUGAACUUUUUCCCGAGUGAAGUUUCACGCGUGGAACUUAAUGGUGGCGGCGGUGUUCCGAUGCUCAUCACUCGUGAUGGAACCUCCAUCAAGGACCACCCCCAGUCCCCUUAUUAGUUAAACAAUGUAAAAGAAGGUUGUGAAUGUAUGAGAUUGCUUUGACAAUUUGAA
rnacentral:lncRNA from 1 species